rnacentral:siRNA from 1 species
CCAGAUGUUGUUGAGGUCGUGGUC